AUUGAACGCUGGCGGCAGGCCUAACACAUGCAAGUCGAACGAGUGGCGGACGGGUGAGUAAUGUCUGGGAAACUGCCUGAUGGAGGGGGAUAACUACUGGAAACGGUAGCUAAUACCGCAUACCAUCAGAUGUGCUCAGAUGGGAUUAGCUUGUUGGUGGGGUAAAGGCUCACCAAGGCGACGAUCCCUAGCUGGUCGGAGAGGUUUAACAGCCACACUUGAACGGAGCCACGGUCCAGACUCCUACGGGAGGCAGCAGUGGGUAAUAUUGCACAAUGGGCGCAAGACUGAUGCAGCCAUGCCGCGUGUAUGAAGAAGGCCUUCGGGUUGUAAAGUACUGUCAGCGGGGAGGCGUUACCCGCAGAAGAAGCACCGGCUAACUCCGUGCCAGCCGCCGCGGUAAUUC
rnacentral:rRNA from 1 species